rnacentral:rRNA from 1 species
UACGUAGGCAGCAGGCGUUGUUCGGAGUUACUGGGCGUAAAGGGUGUGUAGGCGGUCCCCUAAGUUUGGUGUGAAAUCCCCCGGCUCAACUGGGAGGGUGCGCCGAAAACUGGAGGGCUAGAGUACUGGAUGGGAGAGUGGAAUUCCUGGUGUAGCGGUGAAAUGCGUAGAUAUCAGGAGGAACACCUGUGGUGUAGACGGCUCUCUGGACAGUAACUGACGCUGAGACACGAAAGCGUGGGUAGCAAACAGG